CAAAAUCGAAGCCGAACCAAGCUAGAAGAGACGAGAGAAGGGGAUUCGAGGUUUACCUGAGUCACUGCCGUCGCCGGAAGUAAGUUUUCGCUGGAUUUUUUUCUUCUUACCUUUGAUCGUUGCUCGCUUUAGAUAGAGAGCUUUGAGAGAAGUAGAGAGCGAAGGAGUGAGAGGGAUUCGUGAGAGGGAGAGGAUGAAGAGAAAAGCCACGUUAGUAUUCUUUUUUUAUUUAAUUCUUUUCUUUAAUUUAGUUCUUUAACAGAAUUUUUUGAAAUUUAAAGUUCAUUAGGUAAUAAUUAUUUUUUCUGUUUUCAAUUUAUUCCUCAUUGUAAACCCAACAGCCAUGCGGCUGGGUUUAAUUGCUAGUAGACCAACAGUUUUAUUUUUUAUUUAGUUUUUUAUUUUAAUCCUAUUCUUUUUUAGUUUAUCUUAGUUUAUAUAUUUAAGUUAGUAUUAAAAUAUCAGUUAGUUAGUAAGUGGUCUGGUGGAGGGGAGUGGCUUCUAGAUCUUUAGUUUAGUGGGUUCGAUACUCCUAAGCAUAGUUUUUCUUUCUUUUAAUAUUUUCUUUCAUAUUUAUGCUUUAUUAUUUAUAUUUCUUUUUUUUUAUUAUUGUUUAAUAAUAUAGAUUUGUUUUUUCUUUUAAUUGCAUCAUGCAUUCGAAACCAUUUUUUUAACUUAUAAAAAUCAUAUUUUCUCGAUUUAAUAUCGAGCCCAUUUUCCACACCCUUGUAAGUCGAUUGCUUUUUAAGCAUCGCCAUCAACCUCACAUAGCUUACUCUUGGGCUUUCUUACAAUGAGCCGG
rnacentral:lncRNA from 1 species